rnacentral:rRNA from 1 species
GAUGAACGCUAGCGGCAGGCCUAACACAUGCAAGUCGAGGGGUAGAGGAAGCUUGCUUCCUUGAGACCGGCGCACGGGUGCGUAACGCGUAUGCAAUCUACCUUGUACAGGGGGAUAGCCCAGAGAAAUUUGGAUUAAUACCUCAUAGUGUUUAAGAGUGGCAUCACUUUUUUACUAAAUUUCCAACGGUACAAGAUGAGCAUGCGUCCCAUUAGCUAGUUGGUGUGGUAACGGCAUACCAAGGCAAUGAUGGGUAGGGGUCCUGAGAGGGAGGUCCCCCACACUGGUACUGAGACACGGACCAGACUCCUACGGGAGGCAGCAGUGAGGAAUAGUGGGCAAUGGAGGCAACUUUGACCCAGCCAUGCCGCGUGCAGGAAGACGGUCCUAUGGAUUGUAAACUGCUUUUGUACGAGAAGAAACACUCCUUCGUGAAGGAGCUUGACGGUAUCGUAAGAAUAAGGAUCGGCUAACUCCGUGCCAGCCGCCGCAGUAACAC